UCAUAAAUACAUUUGUUUAAAAAUGGCGAUGAUAGGCUUACUUGAAGUCUUCGCAGCAUUCUUUUUUUUCCUAGUAUUCAAACAUUUCUUUCUCCCCAAGAAAUCUCCCGGCCAGCCUAUUCUCAAAAGCUGGCCUGUCCUCGGGAUGCUUCCAGGAAUGCUCCCCCAUAUCCCUCGUAUCUUCGAGUGGACGUUCGAAGUUCUUGAGGCCACCAACUUAACUUUUUUUUUCAAAGGCCCAUGGCUUAGUGGAACGGACAUGCUAUUCACGGCCGACCCAAGGAAUAUCCAUCACAUACUAAGCUUAAACUUUGGGAAUUACCCCAAAGGACCUGAGUUCAAGAAGAUCUUCGAUGUUUUGGGAGACGGGAUCUUAAGUGCUGAUCUGGAGCUGUGGGAGGAUCUGAGGAAGUCAAAUCACGCCAUCUUUCAUCAUCCAGAUUUCUUGAAGCUCUCAGCAAGUAGCAAUACAAUCAAGUUAAAGGAAGGUCUUGUUCCUUUUCUUGAUAAUGCUGCUCAUGAAAACAUUGUCAUAGACUUACAAGAUGUAUUCAAGAGAUUCAUGUUUGAUACUUCUUCGAUUUCGUUGACUGGUUUCGACCCAAUGUCACUAUCCACCGAGAUGCCCGAAGUUGAGUACGGUGAAGCUACGGAAACCGGUGAAGAAGCGAUCUAUUAUAGGCAUUUCAAACCGGUCAUCUUGUGGAGGCUUCAAAACUGGUUGGGUAUUGGACUCGAGAGGAAGAUGAAGUCUUCCUUGGUGACUGUCAACCGUAUGUUUGCGAAGAUCAUAUCCACAAGAAGAGAGGAGAUAAGUCGCGGCGAAGGCGAGCAAUUAAUGGACGCGCUAACGUAUUAUAUAAAUGUGGACACGACAAAAUAUAAGCUCUUGAAACCUAGUAAUGAUACGUUUAUACGAGACGUUGCUUUCAGUUUAUUGUUGGCAGGAAGGGACACAACAAGUUCAGUUCUCACUUGGUUCUUCUGGCUUCUUUCUAAGCAUCCUCAUGUAAUGACCAAAAUCCGACAAGAGAUCAACACAAAGUUUGAUCCGACAGAUCUAGAGAAGCUCGUGUAUCUACAUGCUACGUUGAACGAAACAAUGAGACUUUACCCACCGGUUCCCUUCAACCACAAGUCUCCUUUAAAGUCAGAUGUGCUUCCAAGCGGCCACAAAGUUAAAGCAGAAUCAAAGAUUGUGAUCUGUAUCUACGCAUUGGGUAGAAUGAGAUCUGUAUGGGGAGAAGACGCAUUGGAUUUUAAACCGGAGAGAUGGAUUUCAGAAAGUGGAGAGCUAAAACAUGAACCUUCAUACAAGUUCAUGGCUUUUAAUGCUGGUCCGAGAGCUUGCUUGGGUAAACAUUUGGCUCUCCCGCAGAUGAAAAUAGUAGCUGUAGAGAUCAUACAAAACUAUGACUUUAAGGUCACUGAAGGUCACAAGAUUGAAGCAGUGCCUUCUAUCGUUCUCCGUAUGAAAAAUGGUCUUAGUGUCACAGUCACUAAGAAGAUGUGAUUCUUAUUGAUAAUUGGAUUACUAGUAUUUAUGUGUUUGUUCGGCGCAAAUGUCAUCUAAAGUAUUAUUUGUAGUUGUGUUAUUUGUAUUAUUUAUAAGUGUGUCUCUAUUUCUAUUACUAUGUUUGUUCCCCGCAAAUAUGAUUUUAAAAAUAUUAAAUAAAAUAUAAAAUUUAUAAUUGAUAUUGCCAAAGUUAAGUACAUAUUUUACUUUGGUUUCUGUCCAGAUUAGCUUUUAGGAUUGAACUAGAGAAUAAACCAUUAAAAGAAUUAUAAAAAUGAAAAAGAAAAGAACGAAGAUUACAAAAUUAUCGGAAGAAAAUAUAUGUUAUUUAUUGUUCAUUUUCAAAUUUGAUGAUGAAUAGUAUGAAUUAUAUUUUGAUCUUAUGCUUUCAAAAUGCGAGAUUAUUAUUUUAUUACAAAACAUAUAUAAUAGAAAUUAUAAUUAAUUUAAAUAAUUUUUAUUUUAUUUUUUUGUAUAGCUUAUGUUUAAUUUAGGUACAUAACUUCUUUUCGUUAUUUUAAAUUUGGAUUUUGAAAAAAAACAUUUAGAUCCACGGUCUACGAAUAUUUUGAUUAUAAAUAGUUGAUUCAAAGUGUUUUUUCAGUUAUUUUACAGCUGUAGUUACCAUGAAGAGAAAAUAGUAUUUGUUAUUUAUUAUUUGGCAAAACUCUCAAAUAGCCUUUUCUAAAUUUUGAUUAGAAAUAGUUGAUUCAAAGUGUUUAUUCAGUUAUUUUACAGCUGUAGUUACCAUGAAGAGAAAAUAGUAUUGGUUAUUUAUUAUUUGGCAAAACUCUCAAAUAGCCUUUUCUAAAUUUUUGUUACAAAAUAACUCUCAAGAAAGAAAUAACCAAAAUAUCUUUUUUUAUUUUGAAAGUUUUAAUAUUUAUUUAUUUUUAAAAAAAAAAUUUGAAACCAUAUCUCCAAAAUCUCACCCCUUAACACUAACUCUAAAUAUAUAUUAGUUAACUCUAGGGUAAAAAUGUAUUUUUAUUCUUUAAUAAAACUUAUUUUGAUCAUUAUCUUCAUUGAGAGCUAUUUUUGUGACAAAAACUUAAAAAAUAAUAUCCUAAAAAAAUUCUUUAUUAUUCAUUCUCUAAAUUGAUGAGAAAUAUAAUGAACAUGGUUGUGUUACCAUGAAGUCUUACAGUGGAGUUUUUGAAGAGUUUGUCAUAUAUUCCUCGAUGAUAUAGCAAGGAGAAAAGACAUUGGUCUCAGGCUCCGCAUUUUUCAUCAAAUUGUUUUUUUUUUCUAAAAAGUUUUCAUAUAUUAUUUUUGUCUUUUUUUUCGACUUACAACAACUAGAAAUUAAAAAGAAACUAAAAAUUAAAAAUAGAACCACCAAGGUGAGCACAGGUUUACCAAAAUUGGGAUUGGAUCUUGAAACCCUAAAUCCACGGUAGAGAGAACAAAAGUGAUGAUGGCCACCGCUGAAUAGAAACCGCCUGAACAUUCCUUCGAAUAAGCAGUACGUCGACUGUAAAUCCUUUUUCAUCAAAAUAUAAACCGCCAGAAUACAUUAGUUUAUAUGUGUAAUACUAUUUUAUAUAUUUUCCUCUUUGAAAUUCUUUUAAUGUUUACAUCAUUUACUAAUUCAUUUUCUAUAUUCAUUUUAUACUUUAAACUAUUUCAGAUUAUAAAUUUACUACACAAUAUAGAUAUAGUAAAAAUAUGCUAAUUAUCAUAAAUUUAUAUGUAUAUUUAAAUAAUUCUAGUGGAGUUUUUUUAUAAAACAGGAAAUGAUAUGAUGAAUGAUAUUAUCAUAUCUUCAUAAAUAAUAAAAUAUUGUGAUAUAUAUUUUAUAUAAAAAAUAUAUACUGUAUUUAUAACUUCAGUCAUUUUGUUUUUAUAUUAAAAGUUUGUUUUUCAAAAAUAGCCUUUUGGCCAAAAGAAGCCUGAGCACGGCACUGUCGACGACGCAACGAUAUAUAAAUGACCUGAUGAGGUGAAGUGCUGGAAAUAAGACGUCAGUCUUGAAGGUACAGGUUCCAUCCAUAAUGAUUUCAGAAAGGCUAGUUUUGCCAUGGUCAUAAAACGAGAGGAUAUCAAGGAACUUGGCUUUUGCAUAUAGCAUUUCAGCAACUAUAAACCUUGCAUGCAGGAGUGUCAAAAUGAGCUAUAGCUCAUUAUCUAACUCAGCUCAGCUCGUUUAAUUAUGAACACGAUCUCUAUAUUUUAAGCUCAUUAAAUGAGUUUAGUGAUCGAGCUUAAAUUAGAUAAUGAGUUAUAUGAACAAUCUUUAAUGAACAUGAACUGGCUCAUAAGCUUGUUCAUUUUUAUACUUACAAUUAUAUGUAAUAUAUUUAUAUAUACUAUAUUUGGAUAACUUCUAUUUUUGUAUGUAGAAAAUAGAUAAUUUCUAUGUUUAUCAUAUCUGCCUUCUAAAAUUAAAAUGUCAAACCAAAUCUUAUAAAAAGAUAAUAUCUAUAUUAAUUAUAUUUAUCUUCUAAAAUUAAAAUGUAAAACAUACAUAUAAGACAUUGAAGAUAAAUUGUCUUAAGACUCUCACGAAGAAUAGGGAUUUAGAUCAUUGGUUUUGCUUUAAUUUAAUUUAUAUUAGGUGUUGUCUUUUAAUUUUUGUCUUGUAUUGGUUUUUAUUUAGUGUUUAAUAUUUAUGUUUUAGAUUUUUUAAUAUUUAAAUUUUGAACAAUAAUAUAGAAGUUAUUCUGUCACAAUUUUAUUUUAUAAUUAUUAUUUUUAUUUAGAUCACGAGUUAGCUCAUUUAACUCAUGAUCUAUAGAUGAUAUGAGUUCGAGUUUACAUAUUGAAGCUCAUAUAAUAAAUGAGUUGAGCUGAGCUAGCUCAUGAAAGAACCGAGCUCACUAUGAGCUUAGCUGAGUUGAGCGAGCUAGCUCAUUUUGACACCCCUACUUGCAUGUGGUAUAGGUUUUUAGAGAGGUUUUUUAAACCGGGAGGAUUUGAUACAUGGACUAUUGAAGCCACAUCAGGACACAUCAUAUGAAAGAGAGAGAGAGAGAGAGAGAGAGAGAGAGAGAGAGAGAGAGAGAGAGAGAGAGAGAGAGAGAGAGAUCUAUUUAUCUAUACCUAUAUUAUCUCUGCAAAGUGAUUUUCGAUCCAAGCUCUCACGUUAAAAUUUAGUUUAGUUAAAGUAUUGUUAUUUCUAGUAAAUAACUAAAUUUAUUAAUAGUCUUAUAUUAUUAAUUAUAAAAUUAAUAUAAUAAUAAUUGGCCAAAAAUUGAAAAUGAAUUUUGAAUUCAUUAGAUUAGAUAAUUGAUAUCAAAAACAACCAAAAAUAAAAAAAAAAUCUUUUAUAAUUUAAAAGAUAAUUACUAUUUUUUUUUGUUAUCCAAAAUAAAAUAUUUUAUUCAUAAAAUAAAAUAUUAAAAACAGAAAGAUGCAUGAUUAAAUAUUUAUCAAGUAAAAAUUAUAACACUAUAUAAUACAACAGUGAAUACUGAGUGAUUUUAAUUUUUUAUUAAUAAUGAAUGUAGCGUAUAAAGAAUUUUUUAAAAUAUUUAUAAUAUGUGAUUGCUUUUUAAAAAUGCAAUAAUGAUUAUAUAUUUUGAUAUUUUUAUAUAUAAAUAAUAUUAUUUUUGCUUAAACUUUUUAAAAACAAAAAGAAUUAUCAUGAUAGUGGUUGAAUUAGUAAAGCAUAUACUAAUAAGUAACUGUGAGAUGGUAUUCUCGCAUAGAUGGACAAAACACAUAGUAAGAAUAUAAACAAGUACUCUUUCAUUCUAAAAUCAUGGAAUAGUUUGUUAUUCUUCUUUCUCUAGACUGAAAUUUCCUUCUCCUUUGUGAUUGCUAGGAGAAUCUAAACUAUUAAAACUGAAGUACAUUUUGAAUUUAACCCUGACUUUUUUCAACAAUAAUUAUUAUUGCAUGCCACUGACUUAGACCAUUCGUAUUAAAUUAUCAAACCACCUCAAUUUAAUUUAUUUAUUAAUAGAUCAUCAUUAAUAACCUUAACAUAUCAUAACUUUUUACAACAUUUGAAAAAUCUCCAAAUAUCCAAUCUAUGCUUCAUGCAUCAUGCCUACCAUUGAGUGCUCCAUUAUUGAUCCAUUGUUCAAAAACACGGGCUAGGAAGCCCGCUAAUCACCGGAAACACGCAAAUCAGACUACAUCCUCGGCGGAUUGAUGAUAAUAGGCCAGUAAAUCGGAAGAUGAAAGUACUCAAUGUUUUCAUGGUUUUAAUGUUUAAUAUCGCACAUGUGUCUUAGAUUUGAUGUAAUCUCUUUAAAACUUACAAGAAUAAUGAGAAAAUCUGUGAAACCGAGAAUAAAAAUAAAAGAGCGGCUGGAGGUUACACAGAAAUCGCAGUGGAAGGUUGAAGAUAAGGUUAAUUUUGUCAUUUCCUAAAUCAUUUAACCUAAAUUUUUUUUAAAAAAAUUGAUAAAUUGGGCGCAAAUGCACAUUUAAACCCGGGUCUGUUCGUAUUUAGUCAAUGCCUCUAACCACUAGACUAUGUCACAACAACACAAAACAAGCACAUGAUUAAUAUAUAUACCCAUCUCAGAUUAAUUAAUUGAUUUGCACUAGACCCUACCCGACCGCACACAUUGCGCCUAACAAAAUAUAAUUCUUAUUUAUAGGUAUGCAAUUAACAAAGUGUAAAUUAUAUACAAAGAUUCCUAUUAACAACCUUAGUCAGUAAUGCUUUCAUAUUAUCUUUUUUCGCGACUCACCAUUAUUUUGAAUUCCUUUUUGGUUAAAAUUUUGUAUAAAUACAAUGUAAUUGCACAUACUAGGAAUAUCCAAGCACAUGUGUGUGAUUAAAAGCCUUAUGAUAUGUUAUAUAUUAAUUUAUUUUUAUAUUUUGAAAAAAUUAAAGUAUAUUAUAGAAUUUAUAUAUUAUAUAUUAAAUUGUUUUAUACAUUUUGAGAAAAUUAAAGUAUAUAUGAAUUUUAAACCCUUCAAAAAUAAUUUAAACGAAUUAUCUGAAUCCGAACCGAACCUGGACUGAAAUUUAUAAAUACAUGAAUAUGGUUGAAAUCUUCAAACUCAAAAAUUUGAAAUCCAUAUAGAUCCGAACCAAACCCAAAUGGAUACCUGAAUCUGAAUAAAUACAAGCAUCCUAUAGAUACAUUUGAAAAAGAUAACCAAUUAUAUUUGAUUUAUAAAAAAAAAAUGUCCGAUUAGGUUUUGUUUGUUCAUUAGGUUUGAAGAUCAUUCUUAAAUCAAGAUCUUCUACAUCUGAGCUACAAAUCAUUGUUUUAUGAAUGGUGAUUCGAUUCAAUAGUGGAAUCAUACGGAUUAAAGCUAUCAUUCAGACAAUUCAGCGUGGUGUAGAAAAACCAGCUUCUCUAGAUCAGUAGGAUAAAAAUUUGUGUCGGUUUCAUGUCGGAUCUUGGUCAUAACUUGAGGAUGUUUAGAGAGAAGCCAGAAGAACCAAGUGAAUGAUGAGCUUGUAGUAUCCCUUAAAGCUAACAAAUCAUGCUUAGGAGUAAAAAUGCUUAUGAUAAGAUAAAUUUUGAUUGGAAGAAACAACCUCAUUUUCAAAAUAUAAAUGCAAUUUGAUCUUAUUAUAUAUAUAUAUAUAUAUAUAUAUAUUAUUUGAAACAUUCAUGCCUUUUUUUGAACAACCAAAUGCUUAUAUUAAAAUUAAAGGUCCAAUGGGCUAAGUCAGUUAUAACCGAAGGAAAACUCAAUGGUAAACUAGUAGACGAAGAAAACUAAGACAAGUCGAAAGAUAGAUGUGGCUAAACAGAAAAGAAACCCAAAGAGAAGCUUCACUUGUAGCCCUAAAUCCCACGUUCGAAGGAAUGCACAAACAUUGAAAAUCGACUUUGAAGAACCCAACAAAUGGAUUUUAAAAAUGGUUGAAACCUUUCUGUGAAGAUGCCUGGAUCGCUGGAGGGACCAGAGGCUGUCGCAGGCAGGACUCCAAAAGUUCGCCAGAGAAGGUGGAAGCCCUCUCCAGCCGGAAAGUGAAAGUCGUCACGACAGCUUGAGGGAUGGUGGCAGUGGUUUGCACUGACAGAGAUCAGACCGUGUAGAGGGGAGGCGACAGAGACACGAGUUUGACUCGAGAUAGAGGCGGUGACGGCGUCAUGCGUAGAUCUGGCCGACAACUCGUCGUACGCUUCUGCAGACAAUAAGAUCAUGGAUCUGAUGAACGUAACAAGGAUCUCAACGCGCCAAUGAAGACCUGUUGAGUAGGGUACAACAUGAGCAACAAUUUCGAGAACCUACGAUAAAGAAAAUAGCUCCGGUUUGAAGGUCACAUAGUUGACUUACAGAACCGUCGAUUGAGACGGCGUAAUGUGAUGGAGGCACAACAAUAAUGGAAUAGCUAGUAGAUCUGGCGAGUCAACAAUCUUGCACAAUAGUUCUUUAGCCGCAUAUACGACUCUGUGAAGAACCGUCAUGUUUGAAACAAACAUAGUGUGAUAGAGACGCAGCGAUGACAUAGUGAUCAAAUCUGGCGAAUCCACAUUCUUGCAUAGUAGAUACGGCAAAGAGGAAAGGGGUGGGUAAAACAGGGGACGAGGCGAGGAAGCCGGUGAUGUCAAGAGGCGGAGUGGAAUUGGAGAGGUGGCGAAGACACAGCUCCCGUACAACAAAUGUAUAUGUUAGCUGAACUGGAUUUGAAAUAGGGCUCUCAUAAGCCAGAAUAUGGGCUUGGCCCAACCAAACACAAUCACAAGCAAAGGCAAUAGCUAUAUCGGAGCUUCCUGAUCUGUAGACGGUAGAAGCGCCCAUGUCAAAGUUUACGCCGGUGGUGGGGAAGUUGCGGUGACCAACAGGAGGUGGUCCGACGAAUGGAGUUGGGCCACGGUCGAUGGUCAGAGCAGUUAGCGGGAGUGAUAGAUCUGGUGUUGGAGCUUUAACAGUCCUAACGUAGGAAGAAAAACGGUGACGAAUGCGGUGGGUGGAGAUGGCAUUCCGGGAGCGCAGUGGGUGGAGACAGCGAACGGCAUAGAUGAAGGCAGUGCCGGUCCGGACUUAUCAGGUGCCUAAAGCAUACUUAAAAAAUAUUCUUUUUAAAUAUAUUACUUUUACUAUAUUUUGAAAAAUAAGUAUUAAAAAUAUUAUUAUAUUUUUAAAAUUAACUUUUUAAAAGGAAGAAAAUAUGAAAAACAUAUUUCAUGAUUUUUUUUGGAAAAUCAUUUUUCAGCAUCGAAUAUGAAAAUAUUACAAUAAUUUAUGUUUGUUAGAAUGUCAUUUAAAAAAAAGCUACAGAAACCUAUAAAAGAAAGAGAGGAAAAAAAACCUACAUGACAUAUGCAGCUAUUCAGAUGAAUAUCAAUUAAAACAAACUUAUAAUAUGAAGAAUUGAUCAUUUGAGUUUUUAAUUGCUAUAGUUUCUUUAGCUAUUAGAGCAAGUAUAAGAAAUACACAAAAAGACGUGAAGAAAGUAAAUGUAAUUGUUAUUAAUACAGCAAAAUAAAUAAUUAGGUUUUGUUUAAUUAAUCUCACACUUUUUAAUACAACAUGUAUAAAUAAAGAAACUGUAGUUGUUAGAUUAAAUAACCGUUCCUAUUUGUAUUAAUGAAUAAAUCAGUAGAAUGAAACAGAAUAAUAUAAAAGGACAAAAAUAUUAUUAUAAAAAAAGGAGCAAGACGCAGUUUCGAACUCGUGCCUUAAUACUCAUGUGGACAAUCUAAGAACCACUAACCUAAGGUGAAACUACAAUAAAAAUUUGGCGCCCCUAAAAUAUGUUCAAUUUUUGACGCCUAAAACCCUUACUUUAUUGGCUUUACCCCAGGGCCGGGCCUGGAUGAAGGUGAACAUUGCGAUGGUGCUUGAGUACCACCAGAGCGAGCCUAAACGAAUUGGUAUUGUCGAGGAGGGAAAAAGAUAUGGAGCAGAAUAAAAGGGAACUAGGCUAAAUAAAACAGCGGAGAUGGAAUGAACGAUGAAAAAAGUAAUGAAUUGAGUUGAACAGCGUCGACGCCGGCGAGCCAAGCCGCUGCCGGCAUCGGAGAAAGCUAGCAAAAACGGCGCCUUGGAUUCUGUGCCCGAGAGAGAUUCAAAACUAGGGUAAACCAAAACAUGCAUGCUUUUAUCUUAAAAUAUUGCUAUUGAGCCUCUAAUACGUUUUGAAAAUAAAACAGGAGAGCUGCGUAUUGUUCUAUCUUUACUUGAAUCACUUGGUAUUGGAUUUCCAUGUGACCGCGCUUGUAUUACAUGAUGCACAGAUUAAGCGAUAAUUCUUCCGUUUCUAUUUUAGACUGUCCACCUAACCAAAUUUGAAAAUAUUUAUUUAAUAUUAAAUUAUAUUCAAAAUAAUUAUGCAAUACAUAAAUAUAUAAAUAUAUAAACUAUAAUAUUUCACAAAUAUGAAAUAUAGAUUAACAAUUUGAUCCGGUCUAGAAUCUAGAUCAUGUGGCACUCAGUUUAAGACAAACACAAUAAAUGAGUUUGAGGGGUUUGGUCUGAUCCGGUCAGUUGAGCUAGAUCAGCCAUGAACAAUUUCCAACCAACUUUCUGCAUUUAAUUGAAUCUAGGUUAGUAUAUACUCCAUCCGUAUCAUAAAGAUAUUUUUUAAUGUUUUCACACAUAUUAAGAAAACACAUUAAAUCACUAUAAUAAAUGUAUUAUUUUCUGUAAUUUUCAAUUUUUUAUAAUUUUUAACCAAUAAUAAUUUAAUAAGUCAAUUAAUUUUCUUGAAAAUUACAUUUUUCAUAGAAAAUACAAAAAGCCUAUUUUUGUGAAAUAAUUUUUUUUUAAAACAUCUAACUUAGCGAAAUGGAAAAAGUAGCAAACAACUUAACGAAGAUUAUUGUAUCAAUAGUGUUUCGUAGCAUUCAUUUUUUCAUUGUAUUCAACUGUUCCUUCCUCCACAAGAAAUCCCACGGCCAACCAGUUCUCAAGAACUGGCCUUUCCUCAUAUCUUCGACCGGACCUUCGAAGUUCUUGAGGCCACCAAUCUAACUUUUUCUUUCAAAGGGCUAUGACCAGAUCAUAAUCCUAUUUCUAAUUGGUUUAAGAGAACCAAAUCUAGUUCUAACGGGUUUAAAUAUAUAAUAAACCAAAUACAUUUAAAAUAGACCAAUAUGGUCGUGGCUAAUAUUUUAAGCCAAUCAUAAACCAAGUUGAUUGUCCUUCCACUUUUUAAGUCGAUAAAGACCUUUUUCGACCAACAAUUUAUUGGGCUCGUUCCACUUCAACUCUUGUCUGGACAUUGUUCUUCUAGACCCAUUUGGUUGAUGAAAAUGCACUAUUUUCAACUUUGGAUCUUCAGCUUCCAUUUCUAAUUGUCGACCAUUUCGGCUAGACUAGUCCAUCUCUAGACCAUGCCUGCUUAUGAAUUUCAUUUCCAGUCCUUACAUGUUUCUCUGGCUCAUUUCCUGAUCAAGGAGGUUGCUUAUUGGUCGUCCAUUCUUGUUCAAAGUCCAUGCUUGAUAAAGGCGGUACCAGUGCCCAUACCUUUUCUCGGUUCAAUGCCUUGUGGAUCAAGUUUAGUAGCUUUCCAUAAAGUACAUUAGGACAUGCCUUGACCCAUUACGAGUUGGUUCUUCCAUGAUCUUCAGACCUUUGAAAUUGAGCCUUAUCCAAGUAGCACUAUAUAUAUUAUAAGUUUAAUAUGUUUCUUUUGAUUUAUUCUAGAUUUAAAUUUUGGGAGCGAGAUAGAUUUUCAUGUUGACUCACUAAAAAAUAGAAAUUGAGUUAUUGUUAGAUAAAAUUCUAUCGAUAUGAUUAGAUUUAUAAUAAUCGUUAUUUAAUCAUUUAUAAUAUUAAAUUAAUUCUUAGUUUGUUAUAAAAAUGAGGUCAAAUAUUUUUUUUCUUGAAAUUAUGUUUGACAACUUGAAAUUAAAUAUUUUUUUGAAAAUUAUUUAAAUAACUUUAUAAAUAAAAAAUAUUAUUUUGUCUUAGACAUCUCCAAUGGUUGGCUUCAUUUUAUGCUUCAAAAGUUCACUUUAUUCAAAAUGAAGCAGAUAUAUGAAGCACAUCUUCUCCAAUGGUUUGCUUCAUUUAUUUCUUGUAAAAGAAAUAUUCCAAAUAUAUUUCAUGUCCGCUGUAUGAUUAAUUAUUAAUAACACCUUGUAUUUUUUAAUAUUUACUAGUUUUACCCAACUAUUUUAUUUUUAACAAUAAUCCAACACAGUUAUUAUAGAUUCAACAUUAUCAUAUAAUAAAAUUAUUACACAUAAGAACAACAACAAUACUAGAUAUUAAGUGUUACUUUAUGUUGUAUUAAGUAUUUUAUGUUUAGUUUGGUGUCAUCCAAGCCGCUGCCGGCAUCGGAGAAAGCUAGCAAAAACGGCGCCUUGGAUUCUGUGCCCGAGAGAGAUUCAAAACUAGGGUAAACCAAAACAUGCAUGCUUUUAUCUUAAAAUAUUGCUAUUGAGCCUCUAAUACGUUUUGAAAAUAAAACAGGAGAGCUGCGUAUUGUUCUAUCUUUACUUGAAUCACUUGGUAUUGGAUUUCCAUGUGACCGCGCUUGUAUUACAUGAUGCACAGAUUAAGCGAUAAUUCUUCCGUUUCUAUUUUAGACUGUCCACCUAACCAAAUUUGAAAAUAUUUAUUUAAUAUUAAAUUAUAUUCAAAAUAAUUAUGCAAUACAUAAAUAUAUAAAUAUAUAAACUAUAAUAUUUCACAAAUAUGAAAUAUAGAUUAACAAUUUGAUCCGGUCUAGAAUCUAGAUCAUGUGGCACUCAGUUUAAGACAAACACAAUAAAUGAGUUUGAGGGGUUUGGUCUGAUCCGGUCAGUUGAGCUAGAUCAGCCAUGAACAAUUUCCAACCAACUUUCUGCAUUUAAUUGAAUCUAGGUUAGUAUAUACUCCAUCCGUAUCAUAAAGAUAUUUUUUAAUGUUUUCACACAUAUUAAGAAAACACAUUAAAUCACUAUAAUAAAUGUAUUAUUUUCUGUAAUUUUCAAUUUUUUAUAAUUUUUAACCAAUAAUAAUUUAAUAAGUCAAUUAAUUUUCUUGAAAAUUACAUUUUUCAUAGAAAAUACAAAAAGCCUAUUUUUGUGAAAUAAUUUUUUUUUAAAACAUCUAACUUAGCGAAAUGGAAAAAGUAGCAAACAACUUAACGAAGAUUAUUGUAUCAAUAGUGUUUCGUAGCAUUCAUUUUUUCAUUGUAUUCAACUGUUCCUUCCUCCACAAGAAAUCCCACGGCCAACCAGUUCUCAAGAACUGGCCUUUCCUCAUAUCUUCGACCGGACCUUCGAAGUUCUUGAGGCCACCAAUCUAACUUUUUCUUUCAAAGGGCUAUGACCAGAUCAUAAUCCUAUUUCUAAUUGGUUUAAGAGAACCAAAUCUAGUUCUAACGGGUUUAAAUAUAUAAUAAACCAAAUACAUUUAAAAUAGACCAAUAUGGUCGUGGCUAAUAUUUUAAGCCAAUCAUAAACCAAGUUGAUUGUCCUUCCACUUUUUAAGUCGAUAAAGACCUUUUUCGACCAACAAUUUAUUGGGCUCGUUCCACUUCAACUCUUGUCUGGACAUUGUUCUUCUAGACCCAUUUGGUUGAUGAAAAUGCACUAUUUUCAACUUUGGAUCUUCAGCUUCCAUUUCUAAUUGUCGACCAUUUCGGCUAGACUAGUCCAUCUCUAGACCAUGCCUGCUUAUGAAUUUCAUUUCCAGUCCUUACAUGUUUCUCUGGCUCAUUUCCUGAUCAAGGAGGUUGCUUAUUGGUCGUCCAUUCUUGUUCAAAGUCCAUGCUUGAUAAAGGCGGUACCAGUGCCCAUACCUUUUCUCGGUUCAAUGCCUUGUGGAUCAAGUUUAGUAGCUUUCCAUAAAGUACAUUAGGACAUGCCUUGACCCAUUACGAGUUGGUUCUUCCAUGAUCUUCAGACCUUUGAAAUUGAGCCUUAUCCAAGUAGCACUAUAUAUAUUAUAAGUUUAAUAUGUUUCUUUUGAUUUAUUCUAGAUUUAAAUUUUGGGAGCGAGAUAGAUUUUCAUGUUGACUCACUAAAAAAUAGAAAUUGAGUUAUUGUUAGAUAAAAUUCUAUCGAUAUGAUUAGAUUUAUAAUAAUCGUUAUUUAAUCAUUUAUAAUAUUAAAUUAAUUCUUAGUUUGUUAUAAAAAUGAGGUCAAAUAUUUUUUUUCUUGAAAUUAUGUUUGACAACUUGAAAUUAAAUAUUUUUUUGAAAAUUAUUUAAAUAACUUUAUAAAUAAAAAAUAUUAUUUUGUCUUAGACAUCUCCAAUGGUUGGCUUCAUUUUAUGCUUCAAAAGUUCACUUUAUUCAAAAUGAAGCAGAUAUAUGAAGCACAUCUUCUCCAAUGGUUUGCUUCAUUUAUUUCUUGUAAAAGAAAUAUUCCAAAUAUAUUUCAUGUCCGCUGUAUGAUUAAUUAUUAAUAACACCUUGUAUUUUUUAAUAUUUACUAGUUUUACCCAACUAUUUUAUUUUUAACAAUAAUCCAACACAGUUAUUAUAGAUUCAACAUUAUCAUAUAAUAAAAUUAUUACACAUAAGAACAACAACAAUACUAGAUAUUAAGUGUUACUUUAUGUUGUAUUAAGUAUUUUAUGUUUAGUUUGGUGUCAUCAAUCAUGUAUUCACUUUUAUAUUAAUAAUUUAAUGUUAUCUUUCAUUUAAUAUAUGUUUUAAAAUAUUUAGUAUCAUAAAUUAAAUAAAUUUAUAUAAUAAAUAAAUAAAAAAAAUUAAUUGGGUUAUAUUUAUUAAUAUAGUUUAUUUUGUCAAAAAAUAAAAACAAAAAAAAGUUAAGAACCAAUUUAUAAUUUAGAAAGUUCAGCUUAAAAAAUGAAGCAAUGAACAGUAUAAUUUAGAAAGUUCAGCUUAGAAAGUUUAGCUUAAUGGGGUAUCACUUUCCACAUUUAUAUUUAAUUUUAGACACAAGUACGUAUUGUUUCACAACUGUUACCAAAGUAACCGAAAUAAAAGCUUCAAUUUAAUUAGAUAAAAAGAUAGUACCGAUUAGUUAGCUAUGAUUUUUGAGUUAUGCGUUACUGUUCAAGACAAAAAUGUAAAUGAGUUUGAGAGUUCGGUCCGACACCGUCAGUUGAGUCAGGUCAGCCAGCAACAUAUUUUCCCACCAACAUUCUGCUUUUAAUUGAAUAUCGGCUAUAUAUAGGAAACCAACUAAACUAAGAUUUUUGUAUCCAUACUCAUAAAUACAUUUGUUUAAAAAUGGGGAUGAUAGGCUUACUUGAAGUCUUCGCAGCAUUCCUUUUUUUCCUAGUAUUCAAACAUUUCUUCCUCCACAAGAAAUCUCCCGGCCAGCCUAUUAUCAAAAGCUGGCCUGUCCUCGGGAUGCUUCCAGGAAUGCUCCCCCAUAUCCCUCGUAUCUUUGAGUGGACGUUCGAAGUUCUUGAGGCCACCAACUUAACUUUUUUCUUCAAAGGCCCGUGGCUUAGUGGAACUGACAUGCUAUUCACUGCCGACCCAAGG
rnacentral:lncRNA from 1 species